AACGGUGGCUAAUACCGCAUAACGUCGCAAGACCAAAGAGGGGGACCUUCGGGCCUCUUGCCAUCAGAUGUGCCCAGAUGGGAUUAGCUUGUUGGUGGGGUAACGGCCCACCAAGGCGACGAUCCCUAGCUGGUCUGAGAGGAUGACCAGCCACACUGGAACUGAGACACGGUCCAGACUCCUACGGGAGGCAGCAGUGGGGAAUAUUGCACAAUGGGCGCAAGCCUGAUGCAGCCAUGCCGCGUGUAUGAAGAAGGCCUUCGGGUUGUAAAGUACUUUCAGCGGGGAGGAAGGGGAUGUGGUUAAUAACCGCAUU
rnacentral:rRNA from 1 species